rnacentral:lncRNA from 10 species
GUGAGGCGUCCCCAGACACAUGGAACUCCACACGUAUUUUCCUGUCAUGAAGAUUUUCUUUAAUAAAGCUGCAAGUUUUGGGGAAAGUAUGUGUGAUGACUGGGAACUGAUUCCCGAAGGCUAGCUGCAAACCACGACUGGGAAAGAAGCAGGAUGGGCCCAGACUUUGCGGUGGCUGCUGUCCACCAGAACAUUCAGGUUCAGAAGGGUCGUGGGGGUCCCCGAGCCUGCUGAAAGAUGAGGCCCAGUCCUGGCUCCACUCAACUUACCGCACCCAUGCUUCAUUGCUCCUCAAAGCACUCACGACUCUGAUAUUUUGCUUCUAUAUUUGCUUCUUAUUUGUCUCCCAUCACUAGGAUGAAAUCUUCCAGAGAGCAAUGGUUUUCUCUGUCUUAUUCACUGUUGUAAAUAGUGCCUGGCACAUAGUAGGCACUGAAUAAAUAUUUGUUGAAUCAAUGCA